ACGAACGCUGGCGGCGUGCUUAACCCAUGCCAGUCGAACGGAAAGGCCCUGCUUUUGUGGGGUGCUCGAGUGGCGAACGGGUGAGUAACACGUGAGUAACCUGCCCUUGACUUUGGGAUAACUUCAGGAAACUGGGGCUAAUACCGGAUAGGAGCUUCUGCUGCCUGGUGGGGGUUGGAAAGUUUCGGCGGUUGGGGAUGGACUCGCGGCUUAUCAGCUUGUUGGUGGGGUAGUGGCUUACCAAGGCUUUGACGGGUAGCCGGCCUGAGAGGGUGACCGGCCACAUUGGGACUGAGAUACGGCCCAGACUCCUACGGGAGGCAGCAGUGGGGAAUAUUGCACAAUGGGCGGAAGCCUGAUGCAGCAACGCCGCGUGCGGGAUGACGGCCUUCGGGUUGUAAACCGCUUUCGCCUGUGACGAAGCGUGAGUGACGGUAAUGGGUAAAGAAGCACCGGCUAACUACGUG
rnacentral:rRNA from 1 species